AUUGAACGCUGGCGGCAUGCUUUACACAUGCAAGUCGAACGGCAGCACAGAGAAUCUGGCGUCUGGGGGGGCGAGGGGCGAACGGGUGAGAAAUAUAUCGGAACGUACCGAGUAAUGGGGGAUAACUAAUCGAAAGAUUAGCUAAUACCGCGUAUUCUCUGAUGAGGAAAGCGGGGGACCUUCGGGCCGUGCGUGGUUCGGGCGGCCGCGAUCUUAUUAGCUAGUGGGUGGGGUAAAGGCCUACCAAGGCGACGAGCAGUAGCGGAUCUGAGGGGAUGAUACGCCGCACUGGGACUUGGACACGGCCCAUACUCCUACGGGACGCCGCAGUGUGGUAUUUUGGGCAGUGGGCGCAAGCCUGAUCCAGCCAUGCCGCGUGUGUUGAGACGGCCUUCCGGUUGUAAAGGCGUUUUGUCAGUGAAGAACAGGCUGUUGCUAAUACCGACCGUUGAUGACGGUACCUGAUGAAUAAGCACCGGCUAACUACGUG
rnacentral:rRNA from 1 species